GUUAUUGUAGAGAUGUAUGUUGUAACAGUAUUACACUAUUGUUAUUUUGUAUACAUUCUAGGAUUCAGCUGUAAACCCAUAUAUUUUGUAUGUAUGCAUUUUAGGAAGUCUUUAAAGAAGAAUUCCAGGGGGAAGCUGCCACAAAGCUUAUAAACAAAUAAAUAAAUAGGUAAACAGAUAACCAAUACACCUCACAGUGAAUGCACACAACAAU